rnacentral:lncRNA from 1 species
UGGCAUAGUGGUCACUCUAGGUCUCCUAGGAUCAACCUUCAAGGCUCUCUUGGUGGCACUGGGGCAAAGCCAGAGUGGUGAAUAUUCAGGUCACUUAUUUGAUAAGAACACCUUAGAAGACAGGUUAAGAUAGGGAGUUAUCUGAGAAUGUAUGCCCAUGUGUCUGUCUGUCCUCUGGAUGCUAACCUGACAUCCUGAAGUACUUAAAAUAUCAACCUGUGUUUGUCCUUCCUUUCAAUCAUGAAAAGCAGUUCAAGAAUCUGUGUGCUUCUGUUGGUGGUGGUCAAAGCUUGGGCGCUGCUUGUCCAUUUGCUCCGGCUGGGGGUGCCUUCCCAUCGAUACCUUCCCUCUUGUCCUACUCCUGUUAAACACACCUGACCACUUGCAGCUCCAGCCCAAGCACAGCCCAUUUAUCUCACUCCUCCUCAUCACCCGCAACUCCACGUACAUAUUCUUUUACUCAAAAUCAGAGCCCUUCUGAGAGAUCAUAUCAGCAUAGCAGGCCAUUGCAGUGAUGGGAUGUAAUAUUUGCAGCAGAAAGGCUUACGUCAGGUUCCAUGCAAUUGACUCAAAUCCAUCACUAAGAUUCCAAGCCUUAAUAUCCUCUCUGACCUUUGAAAUGUCACCUUGGAAGCGUCCAUGGGGGAAACUGCCAAUGUAAGCUUGCUGUCCAUCUCUCCUCGGUCCACAGUCCAUGCACUGUGCUAUUUGCUCCGGUCAUGAAGCCUUGAAAUAAGCCUGGAUUUGAAUUGCAAAGAGCAGAUAAACAGGUCCAUAAUAAACGACCCUUACUAUGUAGCAUAACAAAAAGCCCUGGACACUAGAAAGUGACAGAUGAUGGUUUUAAUACCAUAAACAAAUUUUCCUGUCAGUAAUCUGUAGUGAUAGAAACAGGUUAGUGAUACAACACAUCUCUUUCUCAAAAGCCAUAAUCACCAUUGUUGAAACAAACAACUGUUAUUCUAACGGAACUUCCUGGGGUUCCUUUGGGAAUUUUGUAUGUGUACAAUGCUCAUAUCAAGGAAGACAUUCAUGGCUUUCUAGACAAGAGCCAGACGCCCCCCCCCCCACACACACACAAAAGAAAGAUGGCUGUUGUAUAUAUGCACAAAACACAGCUCGUUCCAUGAGGCAGACAAGAUGAGAAAGGUUAGAAAGGUUAGAAACAAAUCCACAAUUGUCACAUGCUUCUGGUGGCUCCUGGUGGCAAAUAUUCCCUACUAACCCAGUAGGUGACUUAAGGGUAAACUGAAUUCAUCCUGAACCAUUGCAAUGGGCAAUCCCUAUAGAAAAGGCCAUCACAUCCUUGUGCCUAAAACCUUCUUUACAAAAGAAAUGAGCACAACACACACACACACACACACACACACACACACACACACACACACACCCAACCCCUUGCUUCGCAGGGCUAAAAAGUAAAGAACAGAACUUGUACAGGAGUUGUGCUCAGAGUGUAAGGGAUCUAUCACGAGGGAGCUUCAAAGACAAAGAGGUGGGAAAGACAGACAAAAUUGGACACGAUCAUAGUACAGGUGAUAUAAGCAGUCCUCAGUCCUCCAGCUCAGCCUGGAGACUGCUCGUGUGUCUAAGACUGUAUGUUCAAUAACGUCAUCAUACUUGGAAUGCCUUGAGCAGUAGUUUGGUCAUGAUCUACAUGGAAGAUUAACUGAGUCUUUCAGUUUCGAAUCUCUCAGGCCAACCAACAUAAUCUAUGGCUAUUUUCAGUGUGAAACACAUGCAAACAUGUGCAUGGACUAUGUUUGUGAUUCUGUGGAGAAACAAAAUGUUUAACAAUCAGAGACUUUCCAGUGUUUCCGAGUUUUGCAGGAAGCAAAAGUCAGCAUGGCCAUGAUUGCUAACGGUACUAGAGUUACAAUCAUCAGAAGUGCUGUUGGAACUGCUGUGUAAGACACCCUCUGUAGCACCAGUGUAUCAAUACUAUUUGAAUUGAACUGUCGAUCUGUGCUCCUUAAAUAUUUUUUUUUCUAUCUGUGGUGGUCUACUGUUAUCCUGCAAUAGUGAUCAUGUGACCAGGAAAGGAAGUAGCCUCAUUGAAAUGUUAGAAGUAGAGGAAGUUAUUUAUGGUCUUCUGCCAAAGAAAAGUGUUUAAUGAUCUGUAAAAUGUAGAUUAACUUCUUAUAUUAUGAAUGUGAUUGUAAGAAAUGCUCACUUCAUCAUCUAUCCUUUGAAAAUGAAUCUUGUGUUUCUAAUGAUCAAGGGAAAUAUUUUUAGCUGAUGUAAUACACAGAAGUGUUAGAAAAAGAAAGCUAGAUCCGAAUUUGAAAACUCAGUGGCACAGCCUUUCCCUCAAAUUCUUGCAUCAUGCUAAGACCUUAAACACACCAACAUUAAUAACAGCUCCAAUCACAUAGAGAAAAGGCGUCGAAACAUUUCUGUUCAUGAACGUUGAGUCGACGGAAAUUACUGUCUAAUUUCCUCGCCCAUCUGCCACAUACGUGUGGACUCAAAGGUCUACCAAUGUUGCACAGAAAGUUAACAGGCUGUGUACGCCAAUUUCAUCUGUGCAGUGAGCAAGAACUAGCCAUUAAACUAUAUAUUUAAACGUUUUGUAAAUAAACUUUUGAUUACUACAGUUUUGUUCAAACUGCUGUCUUUUAAAAUAAUUAGACUUGAUUUGAAUUUUUUUAAAUAAUCUGUUAUAUUAGAUGUUGCGUUAUUGACUGUGAUUCAAUGUACACUCAGCCAUAUUCCUGUGGGAAAUAUCAGUCCUAUUGACUUUCUUGGCAUGAGCCAGAAGCUCUUAGUUUCUCUAAGGACUCUUAAGUAUAAAG